AUACGUAGGGUGCGAGCGUUGUCCGGAAUUACUGGGCGUAAAGAGCUCGUAGGUGGUUUGUCGCGUCGUCUGUGAAAUUCCGGGGCUUAACUCCGGGCGUGCAGGCGAUACGGGCAUAACUUGAGUACUGUAGGGGAGACUGGAAUUCCUGGUGUAGCGGUGAAAUGCGCAGAUAUCAGGAGGAACACCGGUGGCGAAGGCGGGUCUCUGGGCAGUAACUGACGCUGAGGAGCGAAAGCAUGGGUAGCGAACAGGAUUAGAUACCCUGGUAGUCCAUGCUGUAAACGGUGGGCGCUAGGUGUAGGGGUCUUCCACGACUUCUGUGCCGUAGCUAACGCAUUAAGCGCCCCGCCUGGGGAGUACGGCCGCAAGGCUAAAACUCAAAUGAAUUGACGGGG
rnacentral:rRNA from 1 species